rnacentral:lncRNA from 1 species
CAGAGUCAUGUUGCCAAUGCCAAUGACGAAGGUGGCCAGCUCGUUGUCAUGAUUGAGUGAGUGCUUAUUGGCCAUCUCUAUGGCACGAAGUCCUUCAGUGUCCACCACGAGCAUGUAAUCAAAGUUCACCUCCCGCUGCAGGUUCUCAUCCACUUUAAUGAGCUGCAUAAAAGCUCCCCGGGUGCAUCUGCCAGCACUGACAUUGAACUGGAGACCAAACAUGGCAUUCAGUAGGGUUGAUUUCCCUGUGCUCUGGAUGCCAAGCACGGACAAGACAAAGACUCGCUUGUCGCCCAGCCUCUCAAUUAACCUGUCAAAGAUUGCUGCAACCCAUUGUAAGGGUACGUAAGAAGCAUCACCAUCCAUCAGCUCAAUGGGAUACCCUGAAACCAUCAGGUCAGCUGCAAUUUCAGUUCAUCAAGGCGAUCUGAGGACAGAUCAUCCAUGAAGACCCUCAUCCACUGCAGGAAGUAUUUCUUGGUACUGGCUGGCUGUGACCGGAGA